rnacentral:rRNA from 1 species
UACGAAGGGGGCUAGCGUUGCUCGGAAUCACUGGGCGUAAAGCGCACGUAGGCGGGUUCUUAAGUCAGGGGUGAAAUCCUGGAGCUCAACUCCAGAACUGCCUUUGAUACUGGGAAUCUCGAGUCCGGAAGAGGUGAGUGGAACUCCGAGUGUAGAGGUGAAAUUCGUAGAUAUUCGGAAGAACACCAGUGGCGAAGGCGGCUCACUGGUCCGGUACUGACGCUGAGGUGCGAAAGCGUGGGGAGCAAACAGG